rnacentral:lncRNA from 1 species
AAUUGAAAGGAGUAGGUUCAGUAAGACCCCUUUUUGGCCCCAAAAUAUAGCAGUUUUACAAAAUUGUUAAAAUGUAAACCUUUAGUUAUUUAUUGGACAGUAGAAUGCUUCUGCUAAAUAAAUAUGGGCUGUUUUUGACAAUACAAUGCACAUAUAUCCGGUACUAGCACCAUUAAGUCAUGCUAAAUUACUGAAAUCCUCAUAAUUCUAGCAUUUUAGUUAAAUUUUAGACGGUUUUCGUGUAAAACGAAAGUGGCCGCAUUCGUGUUCAUCCUUAAUAUUGAAAUGUAAGUUGUAUUUUAUGAUAAUACAUAACAUAUAUAAAGGUUGAGGAUGAACACGGAUGCGGCCACUUUCAUUUUUACCAAAAACCAUCUGAAAAGUGACAUUUUCCGGCAUAUUAGGUAGAUUUUUCAUAUUUGAGCUUGAAUCGGAUCGUUUUUAAUGACUAAAUCUGUUAAAAUCUUUCACAUAAACUAAUUAAUUUAAAUAAAAUAGACACUUAAGUGUUUAAAAAGUGGUCAAAAUCUUUCGUCAGAUGAACCUGAAAUUUGAGGCCAAAAUCAGUCCUUACCGGACCUACUCCUUUUACAGUGAAAUU